rnacentral:rRNA from 1 species
GGGCGCUAGUACCGCAUACGUCCUGAGGGGGAAAGUGGGGGAUCUUCGGAGCUCACGCUAUCAGAUGAGCCUAGGUCGGAUUAGCUAGUUGGUGGGGUAAAGGCCUACCAAGGCGACGAUCCGUAACUGGUCUGAGAGGAUGAUCAGUCACACUGGAACUGAGACACGGUCCAGACUCCUACGGGAGGCAGCAGUGGGGAAUAUUGGACAAUGGGCGAAAGCCUGAUCCAGCCAUGCCGCGUGUGUGAAGAAGGUCUUCGGAUUGUAAAGCACUUUAAGUUGGGAGGAAGGGCAGUAAGUUAAUACCUUGCUGUUUUGACGUUACCAACAGAAUAAGCACCGGCUAACUUCGUGCCAGCAGCCGCGGUAAUACGAAGGGUGCAAGCGUUAAUCGGAAUUACUGGGCGUAAAGCGCGCGUAGGUGGUUCAGCAAGUUGGAUGUGAAAUCCCCGGGCUCA